GUUAAUCAAAGCUAUAAAUAUGAGAUGAUGUGGCCUGCUUAUGGAGAACUAGGUCUCGAAGUGGGAGGCUAAAGUAUUAAUGCAAACUAUAGGGAAUGAGGGAGCUUGAUAAAUCAAGUGAGGGUUAUGCCUUUGAGGAAAGUGGAGAACACUUUGCAUAGGAUCAUGUCUUUGGUGGAAUGGAACCUAACUUGGGGAAAGUAAGAAUGUAUAUGGUUGUUCGGGUCGGUAGUGCCAUUGUAUUUGUCCAUAUGGAGUGCCUUCCAUCCUACGGGAAAUGCGUCUCCACAAUACCAUCUAUGAAAGGAUGUCUCAUUAUGCCCAUGAUCAUUGUGGAUGUGUUAGUUGUGUCAAUUGUUUGUUGGUUUAUUCCCUGCUCAACUGUCUUAGAGUUAGUUUGAGGUUGGCCUCCUCCCUUUUCUUCCUCAUCCCCCAAUCUCCUCUUUAACACUCUUAUUGCCUUGGUGUCUUUGACGCUUCAUUUCCACAGCUCCGGCAAUUCAGAAGGUUCAUUCCUUCAUUUGCAUCAUUGUUACGUCCAUUGUUUGCCAUGUUCCUCGUGGACACCAUGCUUGAAGAUGCAACUCGG
rnacentral:lncRNA from 1 species